rnacentral:rRNA from 1 species
GAUGAACGCUGGCGGCGUGCUUAAUACAUGCAAGUCGAGCGGACGGACGCUAAGCUUGUUUCUCUGUUGUUUGCGGCGGACGGGUGAGUCACGCGUGGAUAACCUCCUUAUCAGACUGGGAUCAUUUCGGGACACCGUAGCUAAUACCGGAUAAUCUUCUGAACCAUAUGGUUCAAAAGUGAAAGUCGGUCUUGCUGUCUCUUAUAGCUGGAUCCGCGCUGCAUUAGCGAGUUGUUAGGUUAACGGCUUUCCAAGGCAAGGAUGCGUAGCCGACUGGAGAGGCGGAUCGCCCGCACUAGAGCUGGGACGCGGUCCAGACGCCUACGGGAGGCACCAGUAGGGAAUCGUCCGCAAUGGGCGAGAGCCUGACGGAGCAAGGCCACGUGAGUGAUGAAGGUCUUCGGAUCGUAAAACUCUGUUAUGAGGGAAGAGCAGAUUUGGAAGGUACUGAAGACAUCUUGACGGUACCUAAUCAGAAAGCCACGGCUAACUACGUG